rnacentral:lncRNA from 1 species
AAAUUUUGAAAAUAACACUUUAAUUUAUUAUAUGCCUAAGGGGGAACAAAAAUUAGUUUAAGAAAGGAUUAACUAUUAUAUGGCCCAAGGGGGGAUUCGAAUUUGAGAAAUCAAAGCAAAUAACAUUAGUGAUAACCAUCAUGCCUCCUUAGCAUAUGUGUUUAAAAUUGCCUAUUAAUAGUAUAUAUUUACAUUUUGUUUUCAUUUCAUGAUGUUUGGGAAUUAUCCCACAUCGAAGGAUGAGUAUUCAAAUAUGUUAUAUAAAUAACUAUGUAAUUAGAAGAUAAACACAAGUGUGAAAAGUGAAAACACUAGGGCAUCUGUGCACAUGCACGUGUGCAUGUGCGUGUCGCACAUGUGGGAGUGAUGUGUGUUGCACUUAUGACGUGUACACAUGCGUGAAAGUAUUUUUGAAGCCUAAACCGGCUAAAACCGAUGCACACAUGCACGUGUGCGAGUCACACGUGUGGGGGAGUGUGUGUGGCACGUGUGGGAGUGUGUACCGCUUGUGUCACACGUGCACACGUGUGGGAGUGGUGCGUGUCGCACGUGUGGGGUAGUGUGUGUGGCACGUAUGGGAGUGUGUACUGCUCGUGUCACACGUACACACGUGUGGGAGUGGUGUGUGUCGCACGCGCGACGUAUACACGUGUGAAUGUGCUUUUGAAGUUGGAAACGAGAGGGAACCGGCUAGAACCGGGUGGGAACCGCUAGAACCGGGAGGGAACUGGACAGAACCGGGUGGGAACCGACGGUUCUGCUCUACAACCGGGUGUUUCCCGGUUUUGUGUUGGAACCGACACGGGCUGUGCUGAUUCCCGAGUCGAACAGGGCGAGUUCAGUUUGACUCGCCAAUUUUUAAAUCAUUGCUUUAUAGUAUCUUUUUGUAAAUGAAUCACAAAAGAGUCCGUUAGGGCCCAAGUUUGGGCCCCUUCAUGAGUGGAGCAUUAGUGUUAAGGUGCGACCGAUUUUAUGCAACUUUUCUAUAGUAGUAGGGGUGGCAAUGGUCAGUCCUCCUAGUCGGCUCAACCCAAAAAAUCUAGGGCUUGAGCUACAAAAUGUGGCCCAAGGGUCGACCCAUUGCGAGCCUUAAAUUAGUAGAAGAAAAAUGUGGAAGUGGUCCUUAGGGGUCUAGCCUGAUAUGCACCGGAUUGGGGUCCUUGAUAAGACUUAUCAAGUUGGGCCUAGCUGGUCCUUAGUUUAGGGCCCGUUAGCUUAAUACUACAUACCCAGGCCUAGCUAGGCCCGGCCUGCUAGAGCCAUUUAAAAACUUAUUUGGAAUUAAAAGAAAGACUAAUGUGAUCUUUCUAGGGAAUAUUAUUUUAUUUUUUUUCUUUUCUUUUUCUUUUGGUAAAUAUCACUUACAAUUAGUAUUAUUACAAUGACUCUUGCUUCAAAAAAAAUUAAAUUAACAAAUCCAAGAUCUUAAAAACCUUGAUGUCAUCAUACCAAUUUUCUUUAAACAAAGAAAAUAUCCACAAUUC